rnacentral:rRNA from 1 species
ACUCCUACGGGAGGCAGCAGUGGGGAAUAUUGCACAAUGGGCGCAAGCCUGAUGCAGCCAUGCCGCGUGUAUGAAGAAGGCCUUCGGGUUGUAAAGUACUUUCAGCGGGGAGGAAGGCGAUAAGGUUAAUAACCUUGUUGAUUGACGUUACCCGCAGAAGAAGCACCGGCUAACUCCGUGCCAGCAGCCGCGGUAAUACGGAGGGUGCAAGCGUUAAUCGGAAUUACUGGGCGUAAAGCGCACGCAGGCGGUCUGUCAAGUCGGAUGUGAAAUCCCCGGGCUCAACCUGGGAACUGCAUUCGAAACUGGCAGGCUAGAGUCUUGUAGAGGGGGGUAGAAUUCCAGGUGUAGCGGUGAAAUGCGUAGAGAUCUGGAGGAAUACCGGUGGCGAAGGCGGCCCCCUGGACAAAGACUGACGCUCAGGUGCGAAAGCGUGGGGAGCAAACAGGAUUAGAAACCCCUGUAGUCCCAUGAU